UCCGUAGGGUGCAAGCGUUGUCCGGAAUUAUUGGGCGUAAAGAGCUCGUAGGCGGUCUGUCGCGUCUGCUGUGAAAACCUGGGGCUUAACCCCGGGCCUGCAGUGGGUACGGGCAGACUAGAGUGCGGUAGGGGAGACUGGAAUUCCUGGUGUAGCGGUGAAAUGCGCAGAUAUCAGGAGGAACACCGGUGGCGAAGGCGGUUCUCUGGGCAUUACCUGACGCUGAGGAGCGAAAGUGUGGGGAGCGAACAGG
rnacentral:rRNA from 1 species